rnacentral:lncRNA from 1 species
UGGGCUCGGUAUGGUACGGUACGGUGUACCGAGCGGUACACCCAGGUGUACCGAGCGGUACACCUGAUUUCACAGAUUUAACCCUCCGAAAAUACCUGAAAAUUAAAAAAAAAAGUUAGGAUAGGGUUUUCAAGUUACAAAUAAAUAUAGUAAUAGUAUAAGUUUAGCAAAAUCAAUGUAAAUUAGGUAAGAAUAGUAUCACAUAUCUUUUUCGGGCUUUGAGGUAGUCUUGUUCGAGGUUCGUAUUUCAGCCCGUUAUAGAUUGAAAUAUCUACAGAAAAAUCAGUUGAAUUGUUAGACUAUUUUGUUACAAUAUAAACUCUAAAAUUCAAAUGAAUUAAAUAAUCACAUAUGUAGAUAUACCUGAUUAUUGAUUACUUGAUUUUACCACCAAAACGAACGACGGGC